CCGACAAGUCAUCCACUUAUGUUUGCACAGUCACACACUCUAAACUUGCAAAAAAAAAAUUUUUCACUUUAAUCACUGUAAGAAUGUUAACGCGUUAACUAGCUAUUAUUGCAGUCAAGGAGAAGCUGUGACUCGCUGUCAAGGAAAUCAGCUGUUCCAUUCAAUCUGUCGCCUCAGCUCAACCUCGACACUCUUUUGAAGGUCAGCCUCCACUUCAAAAUGGACGCCGCAGAUAGUCAAACCACGUGAGGCCUCCCAGCCAGCCAAGACUGAUAAAUAUUACAAUCCUAAAAUAAGCCCGUAACAUAAGAUCAUCUUCUUGAAUGCGUUGAGAAUGUUGGACUGUUUACCUGCUUUAGUAGGUGCUGCUGUUUUGGUUAGCAACAGAAUUCAAGUGGGCUCAGCCAUGGGUAAAAAGUUAGUCCUUUCUACAUCGCGUGAGUCAUCUGCAGAGAAGCUUUUAUGUUUUUUUGUUGUUGUUGUUGUUGAAUGUUUUGGGUUUUAUUUCCAGCUCAACAAGCUUCUGCAAAGCUAAUGAAGCCUCACCGCCGCCCCCACGCAACCGCCACUCAUGUCUCUGCAUUAUUUCCACAACUAAAAAAGCUACCGUGUCUGCCUACGCCCCAGCGAGCUGCAAACACACACGCAGACGAUGGGAAGUUUGGAAGGGUCAAAGGGGUCUACGCAAAACAUCUGCUAAACCGGCCCGCCCCCGCACCGUGUCACUAACUCGCCACCGAGCCUCCAUGCGGGUAAACAAACAUGGCGGGAACCUAAUUGAAUUACUUCCGUCCGUCAACAACCAUGUGGCUCACGACUCGGACAUGUUUGCUACCACAGAGGAGGCAAAAGUCGGCGUGCCGUGUCGAGAUUUCAGUUCACAGAG